rnacentral:misc_RNA from 1 species
UUUCCGUAGGUGAACUUGCGGAAGGAUCAUUACAGUGUUCCCUGCCCUUCGGGGUAGGAUCGCCACCCUUGAUUAUUUAUGAGUGUUGCUUUGGCGGGCCUCGCGGCCUGGCCGCGCCCCGGCUUCGGCGGGGGAGCGCCCGCCAGAGGAUUCUACAAACCUGAUUAUUAGUGUCGUCUGAGUACUAUAUAAUAGUUAAAACUUUCAACAACGGAUCUCUUGGUUCUG